rnacentral:rRNA from 1 species
AUGAACGCUGGCGGCGUGGAUAAGGCAUGCAAGUCGAACGCUUUAUCAUAUGUAGCAAUACGUGUGAUAAGGAGUGGCGAACGAGUUAGUAAUACCUUGGAACGUAUCCGGAAGUCGGGCAUAACUUGCCGAAAGGCAGGCUAAUUCCCGAUAGUACAGUAAUGUUAAAGAAGCAAUUCGCUUCCGGAGCGGCCUAGGUCCUAUCAGUUUGUUGGCGGGGUAAAGGCCCACCAAGACUAUGACGGGUAGGGGGCGUGAGAGCGCGACCCCCAACGAUGACACUGCGAUACGGGUCAUACACCUACGGGUGGCUGCAGUCGAGAAUAUUCGACAAUGGGCGAAAGCCUGAUCGAGCGACGCCGCGUGCAGGAAGAAGUCCCUUGGGAUGUAAACUGCUUUUGCGUGGGAAAAAUUUUGAUUGUACCACGAGAAUAAGGGGUUGCUAACCUCGU